GGCCGCCGGGUCACGUGACGGGGCUCCGGCUGGGCCGGCGGGUUCUUCAUCCCCGGGGAUGAUCGAGUUCAUCAAAGUGGAAAACUUAAGGCGGUCUUCGUCGGGCUGAUACUUCCUGCUUUAUUGAAUGUUGAUAUUAAAUGCUUACCUCCGGAAUUAUUUUUUGAGGUAUCGACUUUAGAUUAAAAGCCUAACAAUUCUUACCUUUCCCGUGGGCUGCCUGGCUCCCCGCGCGGUUCAACGCGAGCAGCGCCAGUGAGGGGACCUGUCGCGUGUCCUGCUCAGCGCGGUGUCCCACGGGCGCGUCCACAGCCCGGGGCGUCCAGGGGCUGCAGCGGUGCGAGCUGCUCUAGAGACGGAGGGCCCGGCCGGAGACCAGGGGCCGGCGGUUUCAUCCUGCGCUGACCCUUGCCAACGACGUGGCUGGUCCUGGGGAUCACAGGGCUUCGCUCAUCCCAUCUUCCUCCAUAUCCCCAAGGUGGAAACAAGGGGGCGAGAUGUCCACAAACUGAGGAACAGACAAAAUGCUGGCUGUCCAUGCAGUGGAGUGUGAGUCAGUCAUCAAGAAGAGUGAAGUUCAGACCCAUGCCACAACAUGGGUGAACCUUGGAAACAUACUAAGUAAAGCAAGCCAAUCGCAAAAGGACAAAA
ensembl:lncRNA novel transcript